GAAGAUCACAAAUCAUUGAAGAAAAAAGGUUCAGCGCACUGUCUAGUGGGUCUAGAUGACCCAACUCCCAAUGUUAAAGUGCCUAGGAUGGCACAAGGGCUAUCAACACUUCUAGACCCCAGAUUUAAAACACUAAGAUCUCUGUGUUCCUCAAGGUGUGGUGAAGCAAUGAAUAAAUUAAAAAUGGAAAGUGCUGCUGUUAUUGGGCGCACAUCUGCUGAACCGCAGCCUGAAACGUAUUCACAACAGUUAUCGGCACCCACUUCAGGCAUGUUGCGUUCAAGUUUAUCCCUUUAUUUGUGCUUGUAUUUAUUUGAAAAUCAUGUACUGGUUUGUAUUUGACUACUUAAAUGAAAUCUGCUGUUUCUUAGACAACCAGUGGCAGCAGCUGGACAAGGACGUUGGAGGGCAGGCUACCAACACCACAGCAGAUUCUAUUAUUGAUGUCAAAAGAUACCUCGCUGAGGGAAACCUGACACGGAUCCAGGAUCUUUUGCAGUAUUGGGCCCAUCUUAAAACCAAUUUCCUAAAUCUCUUCAGGCUGUCCCUACAGUUUUUAUGCACUCCAGCAUCAUCAGCGCCAUUCGAACGAGUGUUCUCCAAAGCUGGGGAACUUGCCUCCAAAAACGUUAUCGGCUGAAAGCCAAGAUACUUAACAAAACAAUGUUUUUUUGGAAUAGAAAUUUGUGAAAAGAAAUACCCCUCCUGCUUCAGACUUCAUGUAUCUGGGAACCAUUUAUGUUAUUUGAUUGUACAUUUUAUGUAAUUGAUAUUUUACACUUAGAUUAAGAUAUGACAUAACACAUACUCUGUAAAAUAUUGUUCGGCAUAUAUUAGUGUAUUUAAUGAGUAUAUCAGUGAGUUUCUCCACUUGGUUUCUUGCAAUGACGUUUUCAAACCAGCAGGAAUCAGUUUUGAGUAACACAAUAUUGAUACGGUUUGGGUAAUGUGCUGAAAUGCUUUACGAGGCUUCAUCUACCCAUCACUAGUGGAGACUAAAGAGGAAAGAUCAACGCAGAAGCCUGACUGAAAGGAAAAAGUCUGAAGAGAUCAAAAGAAAAAUAGGUUUUCUUUCCAUUUAUCUGAACAGCUGAUCUGAAGACACAAACCUAAACAGUGACGACAAACAACAACACUCAGCAGAAUCAACACAACAUGAGGAAGUGAAGUGUUCUUAAAGCAAAGCAGACGAGGAAGAAGCAGAAUCACUGAUCUGAGCUGCAUCACACGGUGAGAAGAGACGACUCUUCAGAUCUUUCAGGAAAAUCAACACUUUCUUUGACUUCACUAACUUGACUGUUUGUCUCUGAAUAUUUAAAGAUCUUCUUUUUUCUGCAAACUCUCAUCACUCUGCUGUUUAAAGAUUUGAUCUCAUUACUGAACAACAACUGAGGAUCAAUUCUCACUUAUUGAUCAGUUUCUGUUUCACUGAUUGAUAAAGAAAAUGGAAACAAAUUGCAUUUUUAAUGAAGAUUUUUGACAGAAUAAACUCUUGAUGUUUACAGAAAUUAAAAUGCUGACUCAUGAAAGUGGAAUAAAUCAGCUGACUGCUGCUUUCUGUCAGAAGUUUCCAGGACCAAGACAAAAUACAGAGUUUCUGUCAGAAACACAAACCAUCAUUAAGCUCUGGAGUUCAAAGGUUUCAGUUCUGACUCCCAAACCUUCCUGUUCUCCUCCAUCCAAACCUGUGUGGAGGUCAAAGUUCAUGAGAAAGUCUCUGUUGGAGCUUUGAGAGGAAGAAUUCAUGUCUUUCUUUCUUUUCACCUUAUUCUUUAAAUUCUGUCUGUUUUUCUUGAUGCUUCAUGUUUCCUGGAUUGUAGAAACAGGAAGUUUGUUGUUUCUUUGUCAAAAUGAAUGGAAAUGUUGCUGCUGCAGCUCCAUGUCUCCACCUGGUGGAGGGAGAGCAGAAGUGCAGCAGCUGAUGGCAGCUUCCUCUGCCUCCCACUGCUGUCUGACUGCAUUCACCUGAACCUGAGAGGAAACACAAGAGAAGAGCCAAUCAGUGGAGGAGCAGCUGAUCUGUUGGUGAAGGAGGAUCAGAGCUGAUGAUGAGGAGGGUUUCCUCUGCAGGUGAAGAAGGAAGGUGUGUGUGAGCUGAUGUGGAUCCAGUGAAUCCAGCAGCAUGGAUCAGUGGGAGGACACACAGGAGGGAGCCCCUCCCUCUAAAAGCAGAGAUGGUAACCAUGACAACCAGAUCAAAGUUCAGAGGAACCAACCUGGAUCUGGAUCUGGAUCCGGAUCCAGCUGGGGGUCCAACAGGAGUGACAUGUCAAAGGAUUUACCAAUAAACUUAAAAGACAACGGUUCAGGAGUUGAACAAGGUCAACAGGUCACACAGAGAGUCCAGUCUGCAGCCUCCAGCUGUGAGUCCAUGAAGAGUGACGAGUCCAAAGAUAAACCUCCAGACUUCAAAACUGAACCAGGACCUUCAGACUCACAGUAAGAAGCAGUUUCUAGUGAACAAAGCAGAGUUCAGCUCUCAGCAGGAAAAACAAUGUUCUCAUCAAGAACAUCAGCUGAUCCA